rnacentral:rRNA from 1 species
UGGGGAAUUUUCCGCAAUGGGCGAAAGCCUGACGGAGCAAUACCGCGUGAGGGAGGAAGGCUCUUGGGUUGUAAACCUCUUUUCUCAGGGAAGAACACAAUGACGGUACCUGAGGAAUAAGCAUCGGCUAACUCCGUGCCAGCAGCCGCGGUAAUACGGAGGAUGCAAGCGUUAUCCGGAAUGAUUGGGCGUAAAGCGUCCGCAGGUGGCUGUGUAAGUCUGCUGUCAAAGAGCGAGGCUCAACCUCGUAAGGGCGGUGGAAACUACACGGCUAGAGUGCGUUCGGGGUAGAGGGAAUUCCUGGUGUAGCGGUGAAAUGCGUAGAUAUCAGGAAGAACACCGGUGGCGAAAGCGCUCUACUAGGCCGCAACUGACACUGAGGGACGAAAGCUAGGGGAGCGAAUGGGAUUAGAUACCCCAGUAGUCCUAGCCGUAAACGAUGGAUACUAGGCGUGGCUUGUAUCGACCCGAGCCGUGCCGUAGCUAACGCGUUAAGUAU